AGGGUCAUCGCUUCGUCGUCGUCACGCGCGCCGCGUUUCCCUUCCUUGUACUUCCAGUGCGCGGCCACACCUUCUUCGGCCACCAGGUGCAUUUGUUCAGUUCGAAUCUGGACUUCGAACGGCUGGACUUUAGAUCCGAUCACGGACGUGUGCAGUGACUGAUAGAGAUUGUCGCGUGGUGUCGCGAUCCAAUCCUUGAAUCGACCCGGCACAGGUUUCCAGGCAUGGUGAAUCACGCCCAGGGCC
rnacentral:misc_RNA from 1 species